rnacentral:rRNA from 1 species
UAGUACGUGAAACCGUUCAGGGGUAAACCUGAGAAACCCGAAAGUUCGAAUGAGAAGAUUCAGUAUCCUACCAUUUGGUCGACCAUUACAUUAUUUAUGUGAUAAUUUUUAAUAUCUUGUAUAUUAAUAUUACACUAAUUUGUUUUGAGAUUUGGCUAUGGAGAUAUGCACUUCUUCUCUAGUAGGACGUUGCAACCCAUUGGAUGUUAAUCUAAGGUCCCUUAUGGUAGCCUAUUUUAUAUAUAUUUCGGUAUAUGUGAUUUAGACCUUAGGUGUUUUGCCUGAUUAACUUGUUCGAUGGUAUGUCUUUAUAAUAUGGAGUCGCCUAUAUGGCAUUUAACUUUUUUUCAAGUGUGUAUGGAUUAAAUUUUGGCUAUCAGACCUAGUCUGGUACUGAAACCAUUACCACUGUUUGAAAAUUAUGUUGUAAUUAAAUUGACUCUUCUAUAUAGGUUAGCAACGCUUUUGCUUUGGGUACUUUCAGGACCCGUCUUGAAACACGGACCAAGGA